rnacentral:rRNA from 1 species
UCCGGGAUUUACUUGGGCGUUAAAGCGCGUGUUAGGUGGUUUUUGUAAGUAAGGGCGGUGAAAGCUCCUUGGCUCAACUUGGGAGGAGGCCGUUCUAAACUGCAGAACUAGAGGAUGGUAGAAGGAAGGUGGAAAUACCAGGUGUAGCGGUGGAAUGCGCAGAUAUCUGGAGGAACAUCCAGUGGCGAAAGCGGCCUCCUGGAUCCAUUCCUUGACACUCAGACGCGAAAGCUAGGGUAGCAAACGGGAUUAGAGACCCCGGUAGUCCUAGCCCUAAACGAUGUAGACUAGACGUCGGUGGUGUAAUAGCUGUCGGUGUACAAGCUAACGCGAUAAGUCUACCGCCUGGGGACUACGGCCGCAAGGUUAAAACUCAAAGGAAUUGACGGGUCCCCGCACAAGCAGCGGAGCGUGUGGUUUAAUUCGUUGCUACACGAAGAACCUUACCUGGGUUUGACAUAGCAGUGGUAGGGAAGAGAAAUCGGACCGACCCUUCGGGGAGCUGUUACAGGUGUUGCAUGGCUGUCGUCAGCUCGUGUCGUGAGAUGUUCGGUUAAGUCCGCUACCGAGCGCAACCCGCGUUGUGUGUUAUAUGUGUCACACAAUACCGCCGGUAUUAAGCCGGAGGAAGGUGCGGAUGACGUCAAGUCAGCAUGACCUUUAUAUCCAGGGCUACACGCACCAUCCAAUGGCCAGUACACCACGUUGCCAAUCCGCGAGGCGGAGCCAUUCCUCUAAAGCUGUCCACAGUUCAGGGAGCAGUCUGCAUAUCUCCUGCAUGAAGUUGGAGUUGCUAGUAACCGCAGGUCAGC